rnacentral:rRNA from 1 species
UACGGAGGGUGCGAGCGUUGUCCGGAAUCACUGGGCGUAAAGGGCGCGUAGGCGGCGCGGGCAGUCAACGGUGAAAGCUCGGAGCUCAACUCCGAGUCGGCCGUCGAUACUCCCGUGCUUGAGCACUGUAGAGGCAGAUGGAAUUCCGGGUGUAGCGGUGGAAUGCGUAGAGAUCCGGAAGAACACCGGUGGCGAAGGCGGUCUGCUGGGCAGUAACUGACGCUGAUGCGCGACAGCGUGGGGAGCAAACAGG